GGCGGCGUGGCGCAAUGGAUAACGCGUCGGUCUUCGGAACCGAAGAUUUCAGGUUCGAAUCCUGCCGUGGUCG
rfam:Toxocara canis scaffold1475, whole genome shotgun sequence.